rnacentral:rRNA from 1 species
GACGAAGGGGGCUAGCGUUGUUCGGAAUUACUGGGCGUAAAGGGCUCGUAGGUGGCCAACUAAGUCAGACGUGAAAUCCCUCGGCUUAACCGGGGAACUGCGUCUGAUACUGGAUGGCUUGAGUUCGGGAGAGGGAUGCGGAAUUCCAGGUGUAGCGGUGAAAUGCGUAGAUAUCUGGAGGAACACCGGUGGCGAAGGCGGCAUCCUGGACCGACACUGACGCUGAGGAGCGAAAGCCAGGGGAGCAAACGGG